GGAGGUGCUGUGUCGUCUUGGGGGAGGGAGGAGGGCUCGUUGAGUUCGGGUUUUCCGCUCUGUUUCUUCAUAGCGCGUCCAGCGCCUGCCCUGCCGCCUUUCUUCUUCCCCAGUGAGGGAGCGCCUGGCCUCGCAGCCCGCCUUCCCGGCUCCGUCCCGCGUCCCUGGGCCCGCAUCCCUGCGCACCGCUGCGCUGAGGGCCCGCCGUGCCGCGGCCGUGCAGCCCUGCCCCCCCCGGCUCCUGCUGGUGUAGGUGAUGACUGGACUUUUUUCCCCAUCAGAGCGACCGUGUCGAUCACUCGUCACUCCAGCCAGGUCUCGUCUGAUGCACCAGCAGGGAAGUGCCGCGUUGUCCCUUAGCUGCGCGCUCUGUGCUCACUGCUGCUUUGUUUCGUUUCCAGGCCCGCUGUGAUGGACGGCUGCAGCUGCCCGCCUCGCUCCGCCGUGGGUGAGAUUCCUAAGUCCUUUUAAUACGCGAGUUUUAAGGGGCUUCCUGGAUCGUUCUAAUGCCGUUUUGCCGCGUUAUUAUCUCUGGAGACUUGAAAUAUGAGUAGAUGCGAACGUCAGCCUAGGUUUUGUACAGCCGGAAGCAGUUUUGCUCGUGCAGAAGCAUUAUAACGCGGGCCUGGCGUCGCUCCGGUCACACGCGAGGUGUCAGGUGUAGGAUGGCGAUUCACGAGCACCGCGGCUCGGAUCGCCGGUUACCGCCGUGUCCUCGGCAGGACGGCAUGGCGAGGCCAGCCCGUGCGGACACGUGGGCGCGGCUGUUCGGAGCUGCGGGCGCGGCGAGGGAGCCCAUGGGCGGAGCUGUGCGUCCCCCGGGCGGAACGGGCUGGUUCGGCACUUCUCUACUCUGCCGCUUGCUGGCAGGCCUCUGUGAAGGCAGAAAGGCAUUGGGCCUGCUGGAGACCUGAUGAGAUGGCUGUAGCCAACAGUGGAUCAGCUGUGUGAUGAAGGCAGUCGUCCUGGCUUGCACCACCAUGCAUGAACCUGUAACAGGCCUCUGUGAAGGCAGAGGGACGUUGGGCCUGCUGGAGACCUGAUGAGAUGGCUGUAGGCAGCAGUGGAUCAGUUGUGUGACAACUGCAGUUGCCCUUGGCUUUCUCUGCUUCCACUUUUGAUAGAGGAGCAAAGGUUGAGUAGAUCUCUCAGAAGGCCUGAGGAUUUGCUGCUGUUUCAAAGUACUAGGCGAAAGCUGUCUUCUGCUAGUGAUGUUUCUCUCCAUGCUGCUGCCUGUGAUCCUUGUCCACACUACAGCAUCCGUAUCACUGAAACAACUCCCAUGUCUUUUCCCUUGGUCUUGCCAACUAACAGAUGGCAGGUGUUGUGUUUUUUUCCUUCAUAUGAUGUAUUUAAUCAUAAUGGAUUCUGGAAUUUGCUGCAUGUUUUACGUAAUUGGAUGAUUUUUGUCCGCAAAGGCUGUAUUCACCACAUGACAACUAAUGUUGCUUGACAUUAAAGGAAGCCUGAAAAAGCUGUUGUCAUAUAUGAUGGUCUUGCAUGCAAGGAGAAUUUUGUUUAAUAAAAUCUGUGUACUGUAUGAACUCAA